AACGAACGCUGGCGGCAGGCUUAACACAUGCAAGUCGAACGCAUGCCUUCGGGCAUGAGUGGCAGACGGGUGAGUACCGCGUGGGAACCUACCCCUUGGUACGGGAUAGCUCCGGGAAACUGGAGAUAAUACCGUAUGUGUCCUGAGGGACAAAGAUUCAUCGCCAAGGGAUGGGCCCGCGUCGGAUUAGCUAGUUGGUGGGGUAACGGCCUACCAAGGCGACGAUCCGUAGCUGGUCUAAGAGGAUGAGCAGCCACAUUGGGACUGAGACACGGCCCAAACUCCUACGGGAUGCGGCAGUGGGGAAUAUUGGACAAUGGGGGCAAGCCUGAUCCAGCCAGGCCGCGUGAGUGAUGAAGGCCCUAGGGUUGUAAAGCUCUUUCACCGGUGACGAUAAUGACGGUAACCGGAGAAGAAGCCCCGGCUAACUUCGUG
rnacentral:rRNA from 1 species